rnacentral:rRNA from 1 species
UGAUUGGCGGACGGGUGAGUAACGCGUGGGUAACCUGCCUCAUACAGGGGGAUAACAGUUAGAAAUGACUGCUAAUACCGCAUAAGCGCACAAAACCGCAUGGUUUGGUGUGAAAAACUGAGGUGGUAUGAGAUGGACCCGCGUCUGAUUAGCUAGUUGGAGAGGUAACGGCUCACCAAGGCAACGAUCAGUAGCCGACCUGAGAGGGUGACCGGCCACAUUGGGACUGAGACACGGCCCAAACUCCUACGGGAGGCAGCAGUGGGGAAUAUUGCACAAUGGGGGAAACCCUGAUGCAGCAACGCCGCGUGAGUGAAGAAGUAUUUCGGUAUGUAAAGCUCUAUCAGCAGGGAAGAAGAGAGACGGUACCUGACUAAGAAGCCCCGGCUAACUACGUGCCAGCAGCCGCGGUAAUACGUAGGGGGCAAGCGUUAUCCGGAUUUACUGGGUGUAAAGGGAGCGUAGACGGCUUGAUAAGUCUGAAGUGAAAGGCCAAGGCUUAACCAUGGAACUGCUUUGGAAACUAUGAGGCUAGAGUGCUGGAGAGGUAAGCGGAAUUCCUAGUGUAGCGGUGAAAUGCGUAGAUAUUAGGAGGAACACCAGUGGCGAAGGCGGCUUACUGGACAGAAACUGACGUUGAGGCUCGAAAGCGUGGGGAGCAAACAGGAUUAGAUACCCUGGU